AUUGUUGAUCACCUUUGGGAUGAUUGAGUUGGUAAACCCUAACGAGGAAAUGCCCUGAAAGUUACAUCACAUUGUCUGAGGAUUAGGAAGUGCCUUUGGGGCCAAAAUAAAUCUUAAAUAAGCCUGUGGCUUUGAGUAGAUGAUACUUACUGGUUAUGAUUGCUGAGCCAUAAGAAGUUAAGAGUCCCAAAGUCUCAUAGAAGAGGGGUUACUCCUAGAAGAAGAGAACUGAAGAAGGAUAGGACAGAGGAAGGAGCUGAACAAGGAGGUAGUCUUAGCAAGAGUCUAGCCUCAGCCUAAUCCCAUGGGGAGCUCUGGACUGUGCACCAUGGAGUUGAUCCAUCUUGAGGCAGGGCCCUUAUACAAGGCCCUUAUGUCAAUCAAUCAUUGGCUGUGGCUGCCCUGGGCGUGGGUGCAAGCCAAACC
rnacentral:lncRNA from 1 species